rnacentral:rRNA from 1 species
CGGCGGACGGGUGAGCAACGCGUGGGUAACCUGCCUCAUACAGGGGGGUAACAGUUAGAAAUGGCUGCUAAUACCGCAUAAGACCACGGUACUGCAUGGUACAGUGGUAAAAACUCCGGUGGUAUGAGAUGGACCCGCGUCUGAUUAGGUAGUUGGUGAGGUAACGGCCCACCAAGCCGACGAUCAGUAGCCGACCUGAGAGGGUGACCGGCCACAUUGGGACUGAGACACGGCCCAG